rnacentral:rRNA from 1 species
GACGAACGCUGGCGGCGUGCCUAACACAUGCAAGUCGAACGGUAAGGCCCCUUCGGGGGUACACGAGUGGCGAACGGGUGAGUAACACGUGAGCAACCUGCCCUUGACUCUGGAAUAAGCACUCGAAAGGGUGUCUAAUACCGGAUAUGACCAUCCCCGUCAUCUGGGAUGGUGGAAAGCUCCGGCGGUCAAGGAUGGGCUCGCGGCCUAUCAGCUAGUUGGUGAGGUAACGGCUCACCAAGGCGUCGACGGGUAGCCGGCCUGAGAGGGCGACCGGCCACACUGGGACUGAGAUACGGCCCAGACUCCUACGGGAGGCAGCAGUGGGGAAUAUUGCGCAAUGGGCGAAAGCCUGACGCAGCAACGCCGCGUGCGGGAUGACGGCCUUCGGGUUGUAAACCGCUUUCACCCAUGACGAAGUGAAAAUGACGGUAGUGGGAGAAGAAGCGAGAGUGACGGUACCUGCAGAAAAAGCACCGGCUAACUACGUGCCAGCAGCCGCGGUAACAC